rnacentral:rRNA from 1 species
CCUACGGGAGGCAGCAGUGGGGAAUAUUGCACAAUGGGGGAAAGCCUGAUGCAGCGACGCCGCGUGAGUGAAGAAGGACUUCGGUAUGUAAAGCUCUAUCAGCAGGGAAGAAAAUGACGGUACGUGACUAAGAAGCCCCGGCUAACUACGUGCCAGCAGCCGCAGUAAUACGUAGGGGGCAAGCGUUAUCCGGAUUUACUGGGUGUAAAGGGAGCGGAGGCGGCAGUACAAGGCUGGAGUGAAAGGCGCGGGCUUAACCCCAGGACGGCUGUGGAAACUGUGAUGCUAGAGUGCAGGAGAGGUAAGUGGAAUGCCUGGUGUAGCGGUGAAAUGCGUAGAUAUUAGGCGGAACACCAGUGGCGAAGGCGGCUUACUGGCCUGUAACUGACGUUGAGGCUCGAAAGCGUGGGUAGCAAACAGGAUUAGAUACCCGAGUAGUC